rnacentral:rRNA from 1 species
CCCACCCGUUCCCUUCCCGAACACGGCAGUUAAGCUCAUCCGUGCCUACGAUACUUGAGGGUCCACCUCCGGAAAAAUAGGUCGUUGCCGACA